GCUUGACUUGAUAUGGGUCUGAAACAUCAGCUCUGAUAGCAACCGCUUGUGGACGAGAAGCUGAUGCAGCUGAGGCAUUGAGCUCAGAUGCAAGGAGAUCAGCUUGGGUGGAACUUGAAGCACAAUUGAUCACAACUCUUGCACCUAGGGAGUGAAGGUGAGUGGAAAUGGCACGUCCAAUUCCACGCGAACCUCCAGUUACUAUAGCUACCCGACCAUUGAGUGGAAGGGAAGAAGAUGCUACUGCUGCCUCGCUAGUAAUUUCACUUGCCAUGAAGAAGAUUGGGUGAGUUAGCAGAGAAGAGAGAAAGAGUUG
rnacentral:misc_RNA from 1 species